CCGAAACCUUCCCUUUUUUUCCCAGCACAUAUCAUUUUUAUGUCAAGUACGCAUUUUUAACGCAGCAUUUUUUUUAUUAUUAAUAUUAUUAUUAUCAUUAUUGUUUUUUUUUUUUUUUACAGUUUCACUUAAAAUCGCUGUUAGGCUAAAUGAAUGUUUUAUUCUGAAAUUCGGCCCGGAAGUCCGUUCGCCUGUGGCAAAGUGAAACAAGAGCAUAUCGGGGUCUUGGGAAAAAGGGCUGCUUUGCUAAGACGAUGCCAAGCGACAACAAGCCCAAGAAAAAGCACAACAUAUGUAAAGUAAUGCAUACAGAAAACAAGAAGGAUGACGCACACAGGACAAGAGAUGUUCACUUUCUGCCAAAACCCACUGAGAGUGAGUGUGAAGUGGGCAGCCAGUGUCCUGCAGAUUCUAGAGGAGAGCCGCUCUCAGAGGCCCCCCUGAAGGCAGCUUGCUUUCAGCCUCACAGGGAGCCAGAGGAGGAUCUGGCUGCCGAGGAAGCAGACGGCCCCGGUGAGAACAAUGACAGAGGUGGUAGUCUACAGAUGGACAUCAGGGAAGUUGACCAAAGUAGCAGGGGCAGGGUGGAGCCCCUGGGUGCAGCUGCCGCCUCCACAUCACUGCAGAUGGACUGUGACUUUAACGAGUUGGCACAGGAGGAGAAGAUCGCUCAAAUGAGAGCCAAACUUAGACAGAGCGAAGCUGCUCUAAACCUGCUUUCUUAAAGUGACCUCACAUUUGUUAGCCUUUUUGUACUGAAUGUUUAGAAUAGACUUUUAUACAUUUGUCUUCUGUGAACACAUGCACAUUAAUAAAAGUGGUGUCGAUGGGCUUAUGUGUUUGGUGAUCCUUUUUGUUUUAUUUAGGCGUCCAAAAACAGAUGUUGUACUAAUGUGGUGUUCUCUUCUCAUUAGGUGCAGUUUAUAGCAAGGUCUUCAAUGUUUGGAUGUUUUUGAUGUGUUAGUUCAUUUCCUUUUGAUAAAACCUCAAACCAUAGCAGCGUAUGGUUUGAUUAUUUCAAGCUGUAGUUUGGUCCCAUUUACAAAGUGAACCAAAUAGUUCUUUGUUAAAAUACUUCUUUUUUCCAGAAUAUAUAAUGUGUUUUUCCUGGUUCAGUAACUAAGACUGUUUUUGUCUUUCUUUCUUAUUUUUUUUAUUUUUUUUUUUAAUCAAGCAUACCAAAUCACACUUUUGUUUUUGUUUAGUAUGAUAGUUUCCCUGAUCACCUUGAAACACCUCCACAGGUCAUGAGUUGGUCUUAUGUUUGUUGAAAGUGCUCCAAACCAUAAACAAUAAAUAUGACUAAUCUUUGUGCAUAUGUUUCAUAAUGAGACUUUUAAUACUAAGACCUGUAAAAAAUCAUUAUUAUUGCUGUUAUUAUUAUUAUUAUUAUUAUUGUUAUUAUUUGGUGACCUAGUGCUGAAAUGGUUGUGGUGUGACUGUUGUCCUUUCUACUCUGCUUUCUCACUCCUUAAAUUAUUUUUCAUAUGCAGGUCUUACACUCUGAGCCUGACAUUUCUUCUGUCAGUGUGGAACAAGAAAGUCAGGACUUUGAAUUGUGACAUAGUGACUGUGCUCACACUCACCUCUCUGCUUUGGUCCCUGAAUGAUUCAAAAUGUUUAGCAUGGACUCAUCUAGUGUUUAAGGUUUUCAUUUCUGUGUUUGAAAUUCAUUUCUAU
ensembl:lncRNA